ACGCACUGUUCGUGACCUGCUGGUCUGCCUGUGGCUGGUGGGUUCCAUUCCGGUGCGACAGUAGUUCCAGCGGCACAUGACUGACUGACUGACUGGUGGCUCUCAGUCUCAGCUCGUGGGGACACAG
rnacentral:snoRNA from 1 species